rnacentral:rRNA from 1 species
UACAGAGGGCGCGAGCGUUGUCCGGAAUCACUGGGCGUAAAGGGCGCGUAGGCGGCUAGAUGUGUCAAAGGUGAAAUCCCUCGGCUCAACUGAGGAACUGCCUUUGAAACUGUCUGGCUUGAGGCCGGGAGAGGGUAGCGGAAUUCCCAGUGUAGCGGUGAAAUGCGUAGAUAUUGGGAGGAACACCAGUGGCGAAGGCGGCUACCUGGACCGGUUCUGACGCUGAGGCGCGAAAGCGUGGGUAGCAAACAGG